CACACUCCCCGGGCGUUCCCGUGCCCUAAGCGGUGGCUGUUCUCCCAGCGGCGACUGCGGCGCUUCCUCGGCGGACGGCGGCUGUCUUCCUCUCCAUCAGCGAACAGCGGAAGCAAUGGCGGUGUCUUCCUCCGGCGAGUUCUUGUCGCUGCAGCGUUUUCCUCGGUGAACGACGGCUGCUGCGUCUUUCUCUCCAUCUGUGUAACGGCAGAGGCGGCGUCUCUGCUCCCCGUCAGUUGAGUAUGGAAUUGCAACGGGCUGUUCAUGACUGACUACGAUGGAAUCGGGGCUCUGAGGACUCAGGGGCUUACUAGUGGAAAGUGGAUAGACGCAGACGAUGGCAUGACCAUUCAGGCAUCAAGUGCCAGGAAAAUCAGGUGUUUGUGAUGAUUUAGGUGUACACUAUGUCUUGCAAGUGGGAUUACCAAGCAGUAAGGAGUUAUUUGAUGCUAAAUUGGAGAAGAAAACUUGCAGGAUUAUUGCUUGAGUUUAGGAAAGAUUCCCAAAAGACAUUGCCACCAGUUGUCCAAAAGCUUGAUGGGAAGAAAAACUGGAUGGUUUGUGAUCCGGUUCCUAUAAACAACUUCUGCUGCUAAAUAUAUAUCUAGGUCUUUGUUUAUCAGUUAUAUCUCCUCUGACUACUCUAUGUUAUAUUUGAUAUUACUGAUUCUGAGGUAUCCAAUUUAGUUUAGUAUUUAAUUUUUAAGAAGAA